UUGGAGGGCAAGUCUGGUGCCAGCAGCCGCGGUAAUUCCAGCUCCAAUAGCGUAUAUUAAAGUUGUUGCAGUUAAAAAGCUCGUAGUUGAAUUUCGGGGUCAGUAGGUUGGUCAUGCCACUGGUAUGUACUGGUCUCACUGAUUCCUCCUUCCUGAUGAGCCGUAAUGCCAUUAAUUUGGUGUUGCGAGGAAUCUGGACUGUUACUUUGAAAAAAUUAGAGUGUUUAAAGCAGGCUAACGCUUGAAUACAUUAGCAUGGAAUAAUGAAAUAGGACGUUCGAUCUUAUUUUGUUGGUUUCUAGGAUUGACGUAAUGAUUAAUAGGGAUAGUUGGGGGCAUUAGUAUUCAAUUGUCAGAGGUGAAAUUCUUGGAUUUAUUGAAGACUAACUACUGCGAAAGCAUUUGCCAAGGAUGUUUUCAUUAAUCAAGAACGAAAGUUAGGGGAUCGAAGACGAUCAGAUACCGUCGUAGUCUUAACCAUAAACUAUGCCGACUAGGGAUCGGAUGAUGUUAAUUUUUUAAUGACUCAUUCGGCGCCUUACGGGAAAC
rnacentral:rRNA from 1 species